CCUACGGGAGGCAGCAGUGAGGAAUAUUGGUCAAUGGACGCAAGUCUGAACCAGCCAUGCCGCGUGCAGGAAGACGGCUCUAUGAGUUGUAAACUGCUUUUGUACGAGGGUAAACGCAGAUACGCGUAUCUGUCUGAAAGUAUCGUACGAAUGAGGAUCGGCUAACUCCUUUCCAGCCGCUGCGGUAAUACGGAGGAUUCAAGCGUUAACCGGAUUUAUUGGGUUUAAAGGGUGCGUAGGCGGUCGGAUAAGUUAGAGGUGAAAUCCCGAGGCGCAACUUCGGAAUGGCCUCGGAUACUGUUCGGCUAGAGAGUAGUUGCGGUAGGCGGAAUGUAUGGUGUAGCGGUGAAAUGCUUAGAGAUCAUACAGAACACCGAUUGCGAAGGCAGCUUACCAAGCUACUUCUGACGUUGAGGCACGAAAGCGUGGGGAGCAAACAGGAUUAGAUACCCCGGUAGUC
rnacentral:rRNA from 1 species